GCUCACUGCAAGCUCCGCCUCCCGGGUUCACGCCAUUCUGCUGCCUCAGCCUCCCAAGUAGCUGGGACUACAGGCGCCCGCCAGCGAGGAAUUCUUGUCUUCAUUUGCAUGUCAUUACCCAGGCCCUCUUGGAUUUUCUAGGCAUUCUGCAUCAGGAUGGUAUUUAAGAGACCUCCCCCCAGCCAGAGGGAAUAAGGAACAGCAACAGUAUAUAUGCCACAUCUAAGGAGGGGAGGAGGGGCCCAUCUGUGCUCACCCCACUGCUUCACAGUCCUUCUAACAAAGAGAUUAUGCUGCGGUGGCCCCAAGAACCUUCCUGCAAGCAAUGCUUGCUGCUUUGGAAGUAUUCAGAAGUUGCAAUGCUGGGAACCAAGAUGUCAGGUUAUUGAAAGGAGAGG